GGGAAAAUAGCUCAGUGAUAAAGCAUCGGUUUCUAAACUCAAAAGUUGUGGGUUCGAUCCCAGGCUUCCCCG